GAAACAUCUAUUCCAGCAAAUCACUACUACAAUCAAUGCCCAUACAGAGGUAGCUGUAGGAAUCCUUUCCUGAAAACAGAGAGGAAAUAUAUAUAAAACAACAUUUUGAAGGUUACAAAUCAAAGGAUUUUCUUGGACACAAAGGAAAAUGUGUUUGUUUUACAAGCAACGUGCCCCCUGCCCUCAGAAAUGGAAUGAAAUAUUUAUCAUCUGAUGUUUAUUGUUCGGCAGCGACUGCAGCUGCUAAAUCCUCGAGAUCCCACACUGAGCAAGAACAGCCUCCCACCGGUCAGCCUUACCCCGCUCGGCCUGAGCCCCUCCACUCCACGGAUACGUGGCUGAGAAUACAGCCGUCGCUCGCUGUGGAGGCAGAUGGGGUGAACCACAGCUCCAUCCUGUCCACUGCUGGAACCAUGGAGGAGACCAGCUAUCAGCACCAGCUCCAAAUCCCAGUGCUCUCUCUUUGUCUCUGCCUCCUUUUCCUGCUGGUGUUGGGCUCCACGGCAUUGCUGGCCUUCAGACGAAGGAUUCACAAAACUGACUUCACCACAGAACGCCUGCAGACAAGGAGGCCCGUGGAGGAGAACAUCUACACUCUGGACUAGGAUGCCGCAGAGCUCGUCUGGAUGUUAUCAACACGGAGACGCAAGAUCCCAGAAGCUCCAGUCCUUCAUAGAGGAAGUCAUCACCAACAAGCAUUCUUCCCAACAGCUCAUCAAGCCAAGGCACCUCAGUGAACCCAAACAAACGGAGAAACAAACAGCGCGAUCACACUUCAUCACGGCAAAUUUCUUACACCAGGAAAGUCAGUCAUAAAUACAGCUGGGUGCAUUUAGUCACUGAAAUGAUACAUAAAAAACUUUAACAGUAAUAGUAUCUCCAGGUUUAUAUUAACGGAAUUAAUGCGGUUGAACUAAUUGAAACGUGUACAGUUGUGGAGAAUGCAGCGCCCGUAUACAAAUCUGUUUAUACAACGUUGAAAUGGUCCUAAUAAAAUUUGUAAUGACUUCGCU
rnacentral:lncRNA from 1 species